UACGGAGGGUGCGAGCGUUGUUCGGAAUCACUGGGCGUAAAGCGCGUGUAGGCGGCCCGCUAAGUCGAACGUGAAAUCCCCAGGCUCAACCUGGGAACUGCGUCCGAUACUGGCAGGCUUGAAUCCGGGAGAGGGAUGUGGAAUUCCAGGUGUAGCGGUGAAAUGCGUAGAUAUCUGGAGGAACACCGGUGGCGAAGGCGGCAUCCUGGACCGGUAUUGACGCUGAGGCGCGAAAGCUAGGGGAGCAAACGGG
rnacentral:rRNA from 1 species